GAGCUGUUAAUUUAAGUUAUUUUUUUCUAAUCAUACAUUUUCAUAAAAAAGUAAAUUUCUCUGUUACUACGUUACAUUAAGUGUACAUAUUAGUACCUUUUAGCUUUUGUACCUACGCAGGAAAAAUGAGAGGGUACUUUUUUCGGAGUUACCAUCAGUAAUUUUUAUUUAAGUAGGUGUAAAAACGUAGAGGAAAUAUGUUGGAGUAAACCAGCGAGACCACGCCCACUCUACUUUCUUAAGUUUCGUUUCUUCCGCCAUUUUGUUAUCCAGCAGUGGCCGGAGGAAGAUAGAGGCUGUGACUGAGGUAAGUCUGCUAAUUGCUCAAAAAUAAGUUGGAAACUUGUUUUAAGCGGGUUCGGUUAUUUUAUCUGUAAGGAAUAACUUUUGUGUAGUGGAAUGCUGCUAUUCCGCCGUGUAUGUGCCUGUGAGGAGAUUGAAAACUACGAGCAGGAGUUUGCUAACGGAAAGAUGCAAGCUGUGCGUGAACAUGUCGAACGCCAAAACAAAAAUGUUUUGAAGUUCAGCUGACCUUCAAAUCCUUUUGGGAAUGCGCUGCCAAAAAGUUCAACAUCCCAACCUUGGACUUGAAAGUGUUUGGUGACUCAAAGACAGAAGUUGAGCAGGUUUUUGAUCUCCUAUUGAAAACCCAAACCUUGGUGUGUUGGAAAUUUGUCUGGCCGAAGAUACAAAUCCAGAAGAUCAGCCGAGUUGUCCUGCAAAGAGCUGCAAUACCAGUUCAAGUGGAGAUACUGAAGUGGACUCAGAUGACACCAUAAUAUUACAACACAGUCCUACAACAAGACGAAGACUUGAAGACACCUCUCUUGCCAAAGUGGUUGCUGUCAUUGGUGAGGAUGCAUCAUCCGUUGAAGGUCAUGUGAAUGUCCUGCAUAUCCAGUACAGCAAGGUGCGAGAGGAUAUACUAAAGAAGUACCCUUUCUUGAAGACAACCUCAGGGUUGUUUGAUGAAGUUGACCGAAUGCAUCCAUCACCUGUCAGUUUAAGCCAGCGCUUCAAGGACGGCGUUUACCAGUAUUGUGCCAAAGGUGCUUGAACUUGUUCAAAGAAAAGCUCCAUUGACCAAAGUCUCAAAGAAUCAAGAGAAGAGAUGCUUGCAGAGGAUCUACUAGGUAUUGACAUAAACGUAAUCCUUGGUAAUCUUUAGUGUGUUUUAUAGUUCUUCUUUUUAGAAUUUGUAUCAAUAUUAUCUUAUCACAUUUA